CACGUAGGGUGCGAGCGUUGUCCGGAAUUAUUGGGCGUAAAGAGCUCGUAGGCGGUGUGUCGCGUCGGCCGUGAAAACCUGCAGCUUAACUGUGGGCUUGCGGUCGAUACGGGCAUCACUGGAGUUCGGCAGGGGAGAACGGAAUUCCUGGUGUAGCGGUGAAAUGCGCAGAUAUCAGGAGGAACACCGGUGGCGAAGGCGGUUCUCUGGGCAUGUCCUGACGCUGAGGAGCGAAAGUGUGGGGAGCGAACAGG
rnacentral:rRNA from 1 species